rnacentral:tRNA from 1 species
AAUAAGAUGCCUGAAAAAGGAUUAUUUUGAUGGAAUAAAUUAUGUAGAUAUACUCUUAUUA